UUCCUUUCCUUCCUCUAACCAUUUUGAACCAAAAUGAAGAGAAAAAUGGGAGAAAGAAGAACGAAAGAAGGGGAUGGGAAGAAAACAAGAACGGAGUGGCCGACGGUCAAACCCAAGUCUAAUCUCCCCAUUACUCGCCUCAAAGACACCGAUCUCUUCACGGUGCAAAAUUUCCUUACAUCUGUUGAAUCGAAGGCAUUCAUUAAAGCUGCAGAAUUGAUUGGCUUUGUUCACCAAGGGAGUCUUGGUCCAACAAAAGGUGAAGCAUACAGAGACAAUGAUCGAAUUUCUUUGAAUGAUCCUGUUCUUGCAGAUUCAAUAUGGAAAUCUGGACUCAACGAUUUAUUUUCUGGUUUGAAGAUACGUGGCAAAGUUGCUGUUGGGUUGAAUCCAAAUAUCAGAUUCUACCGGUACAAGGUUGGUCAGCGUUUUGGGCGGCAUGUUGAUGCAAGUACUGAUCUUGGAGAGGGAAAGCGCACCUAUUAUACUUUGUUAAUAUACCUCAGUGGUGGUUUUAAACUCAAAGCUAAAAGUCAUCAGAUAAGCCCUCAGGAUUCUUCUGAAACUCUAGGUGGAGGUGAGACAGUCUUCUAUGAUUCCACAAAUGAUAUUGUUGCUGAGGUGCCGCCAACUGAAGGGAUGGCUCUCCUCCACAUUCAUGGGUACAAUUGCAUGCUGCACGAAGCCCGAAAUGUAACUAAGGGAGUUAAGUAUGUGUUACGAUCAGAUGUAGCUUUUGCUUGAUUAGUUGCAGACUUAAUUGGAGCCAGCAAUCUUGUGAUUAGGAGAAGCAAGCAAGCGUGAGAAAAAAAGAUUGUGGGGCAAAAAAUCAUCCAUUUUCGCACUGGAUAAGUAAGAAAGAAGUUGGUGAUGGGUGAUUCAAGUCCUAUGGAAGUCUGAUGAAGCAAGACUGUUCUAUGAAGGGAGAAUGAGUGUGUAAUGCUUGGAAGUUCGUUCGAGCUUAAUUCGUGCAUUGGUUUAGCUGAUCUCAAACGAGUUUUGAUCAAGGUGAUAACGAGCCAAAGCUUGAGUAAGUUGGUUGUGGAUGGUAUAGAUUGAUGUGGACAACGUUAAAUUGUUCAUAUGAUAACAGAUUAUUUCCUGCCAACAUUUUGUGAACACGAAUCUUUAAUAAUUCAUGUGUAUACAGGGUGACCGUUGGUUUAUA